CAGAGUCAGAGGUUCCACAGGAGGAGUCACAGAGCUGGCAAGGGCUCUCCUGCUGGGCUCCAAGCCCUGAGCCAGGCUGGGGCAUGUGGGGCCAGGAGGCAGGUCAGAGUAGGAGGCAGAGAGAGAAGUGUACUCAGAGGGCACCCGUAUCUGGAUGUAAUGUGUUCCUGAGAUUCUGGCUGGGAAGUGCUUCCAGGGUUUCAUAUGUGUUAUGCAACUGCUUCCUCUCCCCAGCCUCACCCUGCAGGAAUUCUAGUGACUAUGUUGCCACCAUCUUGGAGCUCCAUGCCCUCAUAGUGUAAUGGCACCAGCAGAUCUGCCUGUGCACGGACUUCUGUACUAGCUCACUCCUGAGGGGUGAUGUUUCUGCAGGGCCUAUGACCUGGUGCACAACUUUAGAUACCAUCAUCGUGGAGCAGCACUGCACCCUUACUAGCCAGGGUGUUGAUGACAUCCUCAAGGCCAAGGCCACAUUCAAGACUUUGGACUUCAGUGAUGCACUUGUGCUGGGCAAGGGCCUCAGUGCAUGGGCGCUGUCCAUCCUUUGGUGCUGAAGCAGCGAAGCGAUCCAAACCUGCCUGGCUGCCUCUUAGGAUAUGACAACCCAGCCAGUGGCCUCUGCUGGAUCCUGUACAACUUCACAAGACACCCAGACACUGCGAGUGCUGCCAGCACGUGCUGUAAGAGUCCUGAGGGACCACAAUCCUGAAGACAUUGAAUGACUGGAUGAGCAGUGAGCCAGAGAAGACAUGAAGCCACUGAGACCCCAGGCUUUUUCUGUUUCCACAGCCAGUAUGAACUACUCUCACUACGACAACACCGGGGAUAAGUGCUUCCACCAGGAACAGAAAUGGUUCCAGGGGGCUAGAGAUUGUGACAGUCGCCGGCCACUGUGCCAUUCUCAGCACUUCGGGGCCGACAGAACAAAGGAGCUAAUAGGGGUCCCAGUGGCCGUGAGGGAACGAAGUUGCUGCUACCCGAUGGAAGAGAGGAAGGUCUCCGGUGCCCAGAUUCCCCAUGGGGGAGUUGCUAGCCUGCUGCAUCCAGGAUAAAAGCGAAGAAAGGAUCACACAAACCGCAGGCAGGAGGGACCCCCCAAAGGGAGCAAUCGCUGAGGAAUGGAGAGUCCAGCAGCUGCGGUGCUCGCUGGAGGCCCAGGAGCAGCAUGGGGCACUGGCUUCAACCAGGGUUGAUGUCUUGAGUGAAAUGAGAGCGUAUUUUGGCACCGUGAUAGUGUGUUGGCGUGCGAGCAUAGAAAGAAGGAGUGUGUGACCCAGCAGUCACAGAAAUGAAACCUGAAGGCCUGAGCAUGGGCUUCUUCAUUGUCCUUCUGUGACAUUCUCUAUGCAGGGCCUAGAAAGCUGCAGCCGCUCCCAGGCUCCCUGUGAGCUGAGCUCCCAGCGUGGUGCAGCAUCACCCUGAGGGUUCUGUCUUGCAGCCUGGUGUCCUCUCCCAAUGGGGCUUCUGAUUGUGCCUGAGGUCGCAUGACACUGGCGUCUGGCGUUGCUCCUGAAAUCCUGACUUAAAGCCACACAUGCCUUUCUGCUUAGAGGAGCCAGCUUUGCUCCCGCAUUUAGCAUCUGAGCCAGUGUGUUUUAUUAUAAGCAUUAGAGACAUGACUUCUAA